AUGUUUGUAGGUAUAUUUAUUUAUGUGUAUGUUUUGUUGUUGUUUUGCUGUUCAUUAUUGGCAUUUAGCCAUUUAAAUGCUCGCCCACAUUUUGUGUUGCCUACUUUUCAGCGCAGGCUUUUGGCUUUGUUUAUU